CUUCAUUCCGCCAUCAAGUCAAGCUCUUCAGGUGUUGUGUUCUGUGAAAAAAGGCUUGAAGAAUGAGGGGAGUGAUGCUUGUGUUGGUCCUGUCCAUGAUGCUGAGCACUUGCUUGGCCAUGAACAAAAGGGCUCAUUUCAUGGUUACCAACCACGAGAAGCGGAUACGGUAUCUGGAAAUGGAAAAGAACGAUGACGGGUUCGAGGACACAACCUCAGAAGACAUCCCGCACCAUGUCAUUCCUAGAAAUAAGUACACCCCACCCACGGGAAGUGGCGAUAGUACAGGAAAUCCUCGUGGAGGCCAAAAUCUACCCUAAGUUCUGGUCUAAGACCCCGCUGGUAUGAUAAAGCUGUAGUGCCAGUAGAGUGUGUGCGCAUUGUAUGAGCUAUGUACGCUUGGGAGUGUAUGCUGCAUCAUUUGUUAUGUUGGUAAAAAGGGUGUCAGCUUUUACAAGUUAUGUGAAAUAGAAGAGAGUUCGCAGUUACUAAAUUCUGGUGCAGUUGUAAGCAUCCUUGGUUUUGAUGCAUGAAAUAAGAGCAACAGAGACUGUGGUUUGCAACUAUAAGCAACACAUUGUUUAUUUAUGUGAACUAUACAUGCACAAUGUAUUUACUGAUAAUAUUUGUCGCCGUUAAUAUUUAUUUUCCUUUCACAA